GACGAACGCUGGCGGCGUGCUUAACACAUGCAAGUCGAACGGAAAGGCCCCCACCUUGGUGGGGGUGCUCGAGUGGCGAACGGGUGAGUAACACGUGGGUGAUCUGCCCUGUACUUCGGGAUAAGCUUGGGAAACUGGGUCUAAUACCGGAUAGGGCCAUGGUUUAGUGUCUCAUGGUGGAAAAAUUAUUGUUUUGGUGCAGGAUGAGCUCGCGGCCUAUCAGCUUGUUGGUGGGGUAAUGGCCUACCAAGGCGUCGACGGGUAGCCGGCCUGAGAGGGUGGACGGCCACAUUGGGACUGAGAUACGGCCCAGACUCCUACGGGAGGCAGCAGUGGGGAAUAUUGCACAAUGGGCGCAAGCCUGAUGCAGCGACGCCGCGUGGGGGAUGACGGCCUUCGGGUUGUAAACUCCUUUCGUUAGGGACGAAGCCACACCUUUUUUGGGUGUGGUGACGGUACCUUUGUUAAGAAGCACCGGCUAACUACGUG
rnacentral:rRNA from 1 species